CGCUUCCGACCAGGCAAGCCCCAGUACAUUUCUCAAUAAGGAUGAAAAGCUUCCAGGAACCUUUGGCGUAGAGGGCUGUGAAUCGAUGAAUUGGAGGACAGACCGCUUUUACUAGUUAUUCUUGCAGGGGUCUUGGGCAAUCAAGACCAGCCAGUGACUCAAUGAGGAAGGGAGGGAGCGAUAGCGACAACCGAUCCAGGGAGUCUUCCGUAAGACAAGAUCGACUUCCUUUUGCACCAGUUCCAUUUGUUGAAGGAAAGAGCCCCUUCC
rnacentral:lncRNA from 1 species